rnacentral:rRNA from 1 species
GACGAACGCUAGCGGCAGGCCUAACACAUGCAAGUCGAGGAGUAGCAGGAUUAAGCUUGCUUAAUUGCUGACGACCGGCGCACGGGUGCGUAACGCGUAUGCAACCUACCUUAUACUGGGGUAUAGCCCGGAGAAAUUCGGAUUAAUCCCCCAUAGUACUAAUGAAUCGCAUGGUUUAUUAGUUAAAGCAUUGCGGUAUAAGAUGGGCAUGCGUCCUAUUAGCUAGAUGGUGAGGUAACGGCUCACCAUGGCUACGAUAGGUAGGGGGCCUGAGAGGGUGGUCCCCACACUGGUACUGAGACACGGACCAGACUCCUACGGGAGGCAGCAGUGAGGAAUAUUGGUCAUUGGGCGCAAGCCUGAACCAGCCAUGCCGCGUGCAGGAAGAAUGCCCUAUGGGUUGUAAACUGCUUUUAUUUGGGAAUAAACCUCUUUACGUGUAGAGAGCUGAAGGUACCAAAUGAAUAAGCACCGGCUAACUCCGUGCCAGCAGCCGCCGUAA